UACGUAGGGUGCGAGCGUUGUCCGGAUUUAUUGGGCGUAAAGAGCUCGUAGGCGGUUUGUCGCGUCGGCCGUGAAAUCUCCACGCUUAACGUGGAGCGUGCGGUCGAUACGGGCAGACUUGAGUUCGGUAGGGGAGACUGGAAUUCCUGGUGGUAGCGGUGAAAUGCGCAGAUAUCAAGGAGGAACACCGGUGGCGAAGGCGGGUCUCUGGGCCGAUACUGACGCUGAGGAGCGAAAGCGUGGGGAGCGAACAGG
rnacentral:rRNA from 1 species